rnacentral:rRNA from 1 species
CGUAGGGUGCAAGCUUUAAUCGGAAUUACUGGGCGUAAAGAGUACGUAGGCGGCUUGCCAAGUUGGAUGUGAAAGCCCGGGGCUCAACCCCGGAAUUGCAUUCAAAACUGGUUGGCUAGAGAUCGGAAGAGGUAAGUGGAAUUCCCAGUGUAGAGGUGAAAUUCGUAGAUAUUGGGAAGAACACCGGUGGCGAAGGCGACUUACUGGUCCGAUACUGACGCUGAGGUACGAAAGCGUGGGGAGCAAACAGG